UCUUUUCUUCUUUUCAUCAAACGAUUUCCUCUUCUUUCUUCUCUCUGUCGAUCGAUUUUAGCAAUCUUCUCUUCUUAAAGAGAUUUUGAUCCUUAGCAUAAUCGAUCGUCCUAAUAUUAUCCGAUUCUACAAAGCUAUCUCUUUAAGAGUUUAUCCAAAAUAGUAUUUGGCUCUCAUACGCUCCGUCCCUCACUCACCCCCGACUCAACACUUAUUCACCGCCGGUGUUUCAGUGACGAAGCUUUGCAGUCAACACCAACAUCGAAGACUUACCGGAGAGUUCUCUACGGCUAUGCCAAGGCGGUGAACUCUUGGAGAAAUACGUCAAAGGGGAGGCAAAUACUCAGAAGAAGAUGCUAAAAGGCGUGGUUUUUAGUGUAGUAGCUUAUUUUCAUCUUCAAGGCGUGGUUCACUGUGACCUCAAACCCGAGAUUCGUUUUCUCUUUUAUGAGAAUAAAGUUUUAAACUUUGGAACAAAUUCUCAAGCCUUAUCUGAAUUUGCAGGGCUACAACUUAUAGUGAUCUUGUUGUUCUAGCUAAGACACAAAAAUGUAGAGGUACUGCACAAUCUCGUUCAUUAUGGAGAGACUGUUUCAGUCUCGUUCUUCACUGAGACUUGGAGUAAGAUCGAGAAGGACCGCUCUCUUGGACUGCACACUCUCUGUUUGCUAUAUAUUGGAGUGAAAGAGCCCACCUUUGAAUCUAUUUGCAGAGGACGGAAGAAACAGUAUGAACCACCCAAGUAUAUGACUGUUAAUACAACGAUCGAGCAGCUGCUAGAAGUUGAGCAAAAGGAUGGAGAAUCUGUUUAUGGUUUAUGGUGAAGACACAGGGUGUGUGGGCUCUGCACUGAGGACCAUAAGAUAGUUUCCGGAACAAUAAGACUUGAGAGUGUUGAUUUUGGAGACUGUUGCAUUAACCUGUGAUUGUAAGCAAGAUUCAUCCUUUGGAAGAAGAGAUGUUAGAGUUUUACAAAUAUUAAAAUGCAGACUAAAAGACCACAAGAAUAAAGAAUACUUGUAUUUUUGUUCGAAAAGCUUCACGAUGGAGCAAGAAUAAUGAAGAUGUUUCUUUGAUGAAGAGAUUGAAACUAUGAACCGAUAGGUGUAACACUUUUCUUCAUUUUUUUUUACUCGUAGUUUUGAUGUUACAUAAAGCAUAACUAUGAUGUGAUUUCGAAUAUGCGAAAGAUGUCUAUUGAUGUAUUUUUGAUUUUGGUU